UACGUAGGGGGCAAGCGUUGUUCGGAAUUACUGGGCGUAAAGGGCGCGUAGGCGGCACAGCAAGUCGGGAGUGAAAGCCCGGGGCUCAACCCCGGAAUGUCUCUCGAAACUGCUGAGCUCGAGUGCGGAAGAGGCAACUGGAAUUCCCAGUGUAGCGGGUGAAAUGCGUAGAUAUUGGGAAGAACACCUGAGGCGAAGGCGGCUUUCUGGGGCCCUUACC
rnacentral:rRNA from 1 species